UGAGACUCAGAAAAAACAAAGUGACUUUUA
rnacentral:piRNA from 1 species